rnacentral:rRNA from 1 species
CCUACGGGAGGCAGCAGUGGGGAAUAUUGCACAAUGGGGGAAACCCUGAUGCAGCGACGCCGCGUGAGUGAAGAAGUAAUUCGUUAUGUAAAGCUCUAUCAGCAGGGAAGAAAAUGACGGUACCUGAGUAAGAAGCCCCGGCUAACUACGUGCCAGCAGCCGCGGUAAUACGUAGGGGGCAAGCGUUAUCCGGAUUUACUGGGUGUAAAGGGAGCGUAGACGGCAGUGCAAGUCUGGAGUGAAAGGCGGGGGCUCAACCCCCGGACUGCUCUGGAAACUGUACGGCUGGAGUGCAGGAGAGGGAAGGGGAAAUCCUAGUGUUGCGGUGGAAAGCGUAGGUAAUAGGAGGGACACCAGUGGCGGAGGCGGGUUAAUGGACUGUAACUGAAGUUGGGGCUCGAAAGCGUGGGGAGCAAACAGGAUUAGAUACCCCAGUAGUC